CAUAAAUCUUCUCGUAUUAGGAAGGAAACAUGCCAUUGGAAGAUUUACUGGCAUUCUAUGGAUAUGAACCCACGAUUCCAGUUAUGGCAGGUUCCAGUGUGAAUAGCUCUCCAAGUGAACUUGCAGAUGAACUUCCAGAUAUGACUUUAGAUAAAGAGGAAAUAGCUAAAGACCUCUUGUCGGGUGAUGAUGGAGAAACACAGUCCUCUGCUGAUGACUUGACACCAUCAGUUACUUCACAUGAGGCUACAGACUUCUUUCCUCGGCCAUUAAGAUCAAACACUACUUGUGAUGGAGAUAAAGAAUCAGAUGGUGAAGAUGUGGAGGUAGACAGUGGUAAUACAUCCGAAGAUUUGAGAAAGGUAAUAAUUAUUUUAUAAAACAA